rnacentral:rRNA from 1 species
GACGAACGCUGGCGGCGUGCUUAACACAUGCAAGUCGAACGGAAAGGCCCUGCUUUUGUUGGGUGCUCGAUUGGCGAACGGGUGAGUAACACGUGAGUAACCUGCCCUUGACUUUGGGAUAACUUCAGGAAACUGGGGCUAAUACCGGAUAGGAUCUCCUGCUGCAUGGGGUGGAUUGGAAAGUUUCGGCGGUUGGGGCUGGACUCGCGGCUUAUCAGCUUGUUGGUGGGGUAGUGGCUUACCAAGGCUUUGACGGGUAGCCGGCCUGAGAGGGUGACCGGCCACAUUGGGACUGAGAUACGGCCCAGACUCCUACGGGAGGCAGCAGUGGGGAAUAUUGCACAAUGGGCGGAAGCCUGAUGCAGCAACGCCGCGUGCGGGAUGACGGCCUUCGGGUUGUAAACCGCUUUCGCCUGUGACGAAGCGUGAGUGACGGUAAUGGGUAAAGAAGCACCGGCUAACUACGUG